AUCUCUGGAUAGCUCAGUUGCUUAGAGCAAGGUGCUGAUAAUGCCAGGGUUGCAGGUACGAUCCCUGUAUGGGACA